rnacentral:rRNA from 1 species
UACGAAGGGGGCUAGCGUUGCUCGGAAUGACUGGGCGUAAAGGGCGCGUAGGCGGCUUGUAUAGUCAGAUGUGAAAUCCCCGGGCUUAACCUGGGAACUGCGUUUGAAACUACGGAGCUAGAGUGCGGCAGAGGGGGGUGGAAUUCCACGUGUAGCAGUGAAAUGCGUAGAUAUGUGGAGGAACACCGAUGGCGAAGGCAGCCCCCUGGGCCGACACUGACGCUCAGGCACGAAAGCGUGGGGAGCAAACAGG